rnacentral:rRNA from 1 species
GAUGAACGCUAGCGGCAGGCUUAAUACAUGCAAGUCAAGGGGGUAGCAAUACAACCGGCGCACGGGUGAGUAACGCGUACACAACAUACCAUAUACUGGGGUAUAGCUUCGGGAAACUGGAGAUAAUCCCCCAUAACAUUGCGAGAGGGCAUCUGAUUGCAAUUAAAGUUUCGACGGUAUAUGAUUGGUGUGCGUUUGAUUAGCUUGUUGGUAGGGUAACGGCCUACCAAGGCGACGAUCAAUAGCUGGCGUGAGAGCGCGACCAGCCACACUGGAACUGAGACACGGUCCAGACUCCUACGGGAGGCAGCAGUAGGGAAUAUUGGACAAUGGGCGAAAGCCUGAUCCAGCCAUGCCGCGUGAUAGAUGAAGGCCCUCUGGGUUGUAAAUAUCUUUUAUCUGGGAAGAAACUCCUCUAUUCUUAGAGGCCUGACGGUACCAGAGGAAUAAGCACCGGCUAACUCCGUGCCAGCAGCCGCGGUAAUGU